rnacentral:lncRNA from 1 species
CUUUAUUUGCCUUGUACAGCAUCAAUUUUCUUACAUUCUCAGUUAAUUGGCCAUUAAAGUGCUGGAAAUUUUCUUAAUCAUGAUAACAUUUGUUAAAAAGAAAUCAGAACUAAUAUCAGGAACAUGGCGGCAUGAAGGAAACAGUUCCCUUACAAAACACAGAAAAUGGAAGCCCCUCAUGUUGAGGGGGUGGGUUGGACAAUUUGCAAACAGAUUCUAAUUUCCUCUCACCGUCAGCACCAAACUGGCUGGGACCACCACCCCUGGGUGAAAGAAACAACACUAAAGAACCCUAAAAACACCCACACACCCUGACUACCACCACCUCUGGGCCAUCUGUGGGCGUUUGCUGUUUGAACAGAUCCAGUCUCAGGAAAGAGGAAGACCUGACCUCCGUCUGCAACCCAUCACCCCACCCACCCUUACUAACAAAAGCCCCCAAAGUCAUUACAAUGAAAAAGUGGGUUUCCAUUACCCCAAAACUAACAAUGUUCAGUAAAAAUGAGGAUAAUAAACACAAAAGCUUGCUUAGUAAACAGGAGCUCUCAGCAGUCAAUGCAAAAAAAUAUAUAUAUAUGAAAUCUUAAGGCAAAUACUGUUGACUUUGCACAUGGGCUGGACGAACUUGGAACUCUUUACCUAUCUGUAUAGUUCCAGGAGCCUACAGGCGGUCGGUUUUUCAGCGCUUGCCACCGGGCCAGGCAAGGUCUUUGCAUGAUUGCUGAGGCAGUCGGUGUGUUUCCCUUUGGAGUUUAUAUAGGAACACACCACCCAAGGCUGAUGUUUUGUUAUAUAUAUAUAUAUGUACACACAUACAAAGGCCUGCUACUCUUUCUUUGUGGAAACUGACAGCUCCACCUCGGGAAGCUGGAUGCCAACCUUAUUCCCACUGUCAUUGCUAGAAGAGGAGGACAGUCGGGACUUCUUAGAGGCCAGGGACACCCCACUCCCCUGUAACUUGCCUGUCUCAUCAUCGCUCCCAGUCACCUCAUAAUGACCUUUGCUCUUUGACCCCAAUCCACCAAAGGUACCGAAUUUCAGCUUCCCGUGUUUCCCUUUAACUUUCCCACCUUCCAGAGACACUUCCCCACCUUCAAACUCCAGCGUCCCCGUCGGGGUGGAAGGUCCAGAGAACUCUCUUUCAUCACUGAAUGAAUUUGAGCGGUGCCGUGGCUUCUUACUUUUAAAUAAGGAGAAUUUGCCUUUCGGUGAAGAGGCUUCGGCCUCUGCCUCUCCUUCCAGAGAGCCCAGGCUGGCCUUUGAACUUUUCAGGUCACCUUUGGACCCAGAAAUUGAUGCUUCUGGUGAGCCAGUGACACCACCUUUCCCUUUAGGUUUGGAAAAAUUAAACUUGGGCAUUUUGAUCUUGGACUUUUUCAGUUUGACUUCAGACUCUUCCCACUCGCCGUCUCCAGCACCAGCUUGGAUGCUGGCCUCUGCUUUAGGGAAGUGAACAUCCACCCCCAUUUCUCUGCCAACCAGCUCACGGCCAGAGAAGGUAAAUUUGGGGAUCUUCAUUUUAGGGAAUGUUACUUUUCCAGAUCCACUUUCCAAGUGACCUUGAGGCCCAGACACACUCAGCCCAGGAGCCUGGAGUCCAAUCUGACCUCCUUUCACACCUCCUUCCACCUUUGGUCCUGAGAAAUGAAGGCCCCCAGCAAACUUAGAUGUGUCCAAGUUGAGAGCAGAGGAGACUUGGGGUCCCUUCCACUCACCCCCGGAACCUUUAACACUCAAAUGCCCUUCACCAAGGCUGAUGUCUGGGGCACUGACACCCCCUGAAACAUCCGCACCUCCUUUGAUUUUUGGGCCCUUCAAGUUGAUGCCAAAAUCUGACUCAGGAGAUGCCAUAUUAAAGGCAGGCCCCUUCACACUGAUAUCAGGAGCAGCCCCAUGGAAACCUACUUCUGAACCUUUCAGACCACCUUUGAUUUCAGGCCCAGAAAUCUGCCCAGUUGGGAGUUUCACAUUCACGCCUGGCAGGUUCACAUCACAUCCAGAGGACUUAAUUCCAGGCAUCUGGAGGUUUCCUUCUAGGCCUUGAACACCAAUGCCUGGAAGACCUCCUCCGACAGUGGGGCCUUUGAUCUCACCAGUGGCCCCAAGGCUCCCUUUCACUUUUGGUCCUUCCAAGUUAAAGUCCACAUUCGGUGCUGAAAUCCGAGGCCCUUUCAGGUUCACAUCCACACCUGGCCCCUUCAGUUCGCCAGAAACCUGUGGCCCCUUGGCAUUGACGUGCAAGUCGGACCCCGGAGUAGAGAUGCCAAAUUGGGGCAGCUUCAUUUUGGGAAGUUUAAUGCUGCCUUCGGAUGCCUCCAAGCUUAGAUCAGGAGCUCCUACGGAUACUUUAGGGCAUUUGAUGUCACCAGAGACAGCCAGAUCUCCCUGCAGGCUUGGUCCCCUCAGUGUCACAUCUGGUGCCCCAACGUUAAGCUUUGUUGUGGCAUCGAUCCCUGGCACUUUCACACCGUCUCCUCCCACCUGCAUUUUGCCACCGACACCACUGAGGUUGAGCCCUGGAGCAUGCACCUUCAUGCUGGGAACAGAUGCAUCCAGGUCUCCCUUCAAACUUGGUCCUUUCAAGUUCAGAUCAAGGUCAGGCCCAGAGACUUUUGGCAUAGAGAGGUUCACUGAAGGCAAGUCUACUCCUGGCCCCUUUAGAGAAACAUCGGGCCCUUCGAGCUUAACAUCUGGUCCUCUCAAGUCUCCUUCAAGAGAGGGUAGCUGGGCAUGGACCUCGGCUCCCCCACCCUCCAUUUUCACACCUGGGAUGCCGAUCUUGGGCAUGGAAAACUUGGGGAACUUAAUUUUUGCUUCUGGACCUUGCAGAUCUACAUCUGGUCCUUCCAGUCCCACGCUGGGGACAUCACCCUUUAUCUUUGGUCCUUUCAAGUUUACAUUCACAUCAGGGAUGGAGACUUGAGGGGCAGAAAUGCCGAAGGACGGUGUUUUGACUUUAGCAUCUAGGCCUUCGAUGUUGAUGUCAGGUGCACCCAAGUUUGCCUGCACUUUGGGGCCUUUCAGGUCACCCUCUAUUUUUGGCACUGAGAUGUCCACAUCUGGCAUCUUGACCUUGGGAGCCUUCGCCUUGAUGUCAAGACCUUCGACGUGAAUCGCUGGCAAAGAAAGUUCCAGAUCAGGUGCCUGGAGUUCACCCUCCAGUUUGGGGCUAGGGAGAGGGGCCUCAGCUUUAAAUUUAGGUGAUUUAAUGUCAAACUCUACAUCUGGGAAGUACAUUUUUCCAAACAUCGUUUUCUUGGUUUUGGGCGAUUUCACGUCGACUUUGAGUGCAGCAUCCGGCCCUGCGAUGUUGACAUCUACAUCCGGAGCCUUGAGGCUGGCAUCAAUUUCACCCCCAGGAACAUUCAGGUCAAAUCCCUGUUUUUUGGCCUUAAUCUUAGGACCACUCAUAUGAAUUUUAGGCAUUUUAAACUUACUUUUCUUGCCCUUGCCACCAACACUAAUUUCAGGAGUCUCAAGGUUCAGCUCUGCCUCAGGAACAGUGACAUCCAGUGAAGGUGACUUGAUGUCAGCUUUGGGGCUUUUUGCCCCAAAUCCAAACUUGGGUUUCUUAAAUUUGGGGAUUUUAACAUCUGGCCCUUCGAUGUUAAUAUCUGGGCUGUCCAUGUGUACAUCUAAGCUUGGAGCUUCAACUUUGGGUCCCUUGAGGUCCACUUCACCACCUUCUAACUUCGGACCUGAAAAUCCAAUUUUUGGUGCCUUGAGAUGCAAAUCAACAUCAGGAGCAGUUACUUUAGGAGCAGAUAUCUCCAGCGAUGGCAUCUUCAAAGAUGGGCCACUGAGUUUGGCAUCAGGGCCUUCGAAAUCCAGACGUGGACCUUUAAGAUCUACUUCUGGGCCUUUCAAAGUCCCUUCAACCUUAGGGACAGACACAUCAAAAUCUCCUUUUACUUUGGGUCCUUUCAAAUCCAGGUCAACAUCAGGUAUGGAGAUCUUGGGAGCUUUGAUAUUUAUUUCAGGCAUCUUGAACUUGGGGCCCUUCAGUUUUGCGUCUGGACCUUCGAUAUUCACAUCUGGAAUAUCAACGUCCACCUUGGGUCCCGAGACAUCGAUGUCGGCCUUGGGCAGGCUCACAUCCACAUCUGGACCUUCUCCUUUGAAGCCAGGCAUGCUGAAUUUGGGCAUUUUCACCUUGGGCAUCUUCAGGUGCCAGUCUGGGCCAUGAACAUCCACAUCAGGGGUGUUGAUGUCCACUUUUGGGCCCUUGAUGUCAGCUUCUGGGCCCUUGAGGUCACCUUCCACUUUAGGAAGGGUAACAUCCACAUCGCCCUUCACUUUGGGUCCUUUCAGGUUUAAGUCAAUAUCAGGCAUGGAGAUCUUGGGGGCUUUGAUGCUCAUCUCAGGCAUCUUGAACUUGGGGCCCUUUAGUUUCGCAUCUGGACCUUCGAUAUUCACAUCAGGAACAUCAACGUCCACUUUGGGUCCUGAGACAACAACGUCAGCCUUAGGCAAGUUCACAUCCACUUCUGGGCCCUCGCCUUUGAGGCUGGGCAUGCUGAACUUGGGCAUUUUCAUCUUGGGUAUUUUCAGGCUCCAGUCCAGGCCUUGGCCUUCCACAUCUGGUGCUUUAAUAUCUACCUUGGGACCUCUGAUGUCCACAUCUGGAACCUGCAUUUCACCCUCUAUCUUUGGUGCAGAGAUAUCUACAUUUCCUUUCAUUUUGGGUCCUUUAAGAUCCAGGUCAACAUCUGGCAAAGACAUCUUAGGAGCUCUGAAGUGCAUCUCAGGCAUCUUAAACUUCGGGCCUUUCAACUUCCCUUCAGGUCCUUCAAGGCUCAGAUCUGGAGCAUUAGUAUCUACUUUUGGUGCAGAAAUGUCCACAUUCGCUUUGGACAGGUUCACAUCAAAUUCUGGCCCCUCUCCUUUGAGGCUGGGCAUGCUAAAUUUGGGCAUUUUAAUCUUUGGCAUCUUCAAGUUCCAGUCAGGACCCUGCAUUUCAACAUCUGGGGCACUGACAUCUACUUUUGGGCCUUUCAGGUCCCCUUCCAGCUUUGGCACUGUCAUAUCAUAUUCUCCCUUUACUUUAGGACCUUUCAUAUGCAAGUCCACAUCAGGCAUGGAGAUCUUGGGGGCCUUGAUAUUCAUCUCUGGCAUCUUGAACUUGGGGCCCUUCAGCUUUCCUUCAGGUCCUUCAAUAUUCACAUCUGGAACUUCAACACCCACCUUGGGUCCUGAGAUGUCCACAUCAGCCUUGGGCAGGUUCACAUCCACUUCUGGGCCCUCUGCUUUGAAGCCAGGCAUGCUGAACUUGGGCAUUUUCAUCUUGGGCAUCUUCAGGUGCCAGUCUGGGCCUUGAACCUCCACAUCUGGGACAUCAAUGUCCAUUUUGGCACUUUUAAGUUCAACAUCAGGAACUUUAAUCUCACUUUCAACCUUUGGCAUUGUGACAUCAUAUUCUCCCUUUACGUUAGGGCCUUUCAGAUGUAAGUCCACAUCAGGCAUGGAGAUCUUGGGGACUUUGAUGUUCAUCUCAGGCAUCUUAAACUUGGGCCCUUUCAAUUUCCCUUCUGGUUCCUCAAUGCUCACAUCAGGAGCAGUAACAUCUAUCUUGGGCCCGGAAAUGUCCACAUCAGCCUUGGGCAGGUUCACAUCCACUUCUGGGCCCUCUGCUUUGAACCCUGGCACACUGAAUUUGGGCAUUUUCAUCUUGGGCAUCUUCAAGUGCCAGUCUGGGCCAUGAACAUCCACAUCUGGGGCAUCAAUGUCCACUUUUGGGCCUUUGAGUUCUCCUUCCAGCUUUGGUACAGUUACAUCAUACUCUCCCUUCACCUUUGUACCUUUCACGUGCAAAUCUACAUCAGGCAUGGAGAUCUUUGGUGUCUUGACACUCAUAUCAGGCAGCUUAACAUCGGGGCCUUUAAGUUUUCCCCCCAGACCCUCCAAGUUGACAUCUGGGGCUUCCACAUUGACCUUGGGCCCUGAAAUACUGAUAUCUCCUUUGGGUAGAGUCAUAUGAACAUCUGGACCUUCCCCUUUGGCUCCUGGAGUGCUGAACGUGGGCAUUUUCAUCUUGGGCAUUUUCAGGUUCCAUUCUGGGCCAUGCGCUUCGACAUCUGGGGCACUGACAUCCACUUUGGGGCCUCUGACAUCAACUUCAGGGACUUUGACUUUCCCUUCUACUCUGGGGAGUGUGACAUCUACACCCCCUUUCACUUUAGGUGCGGCCACAUUUAAGUCUACUUCUGACAUAGAGAUCCUACAGGUUCCGGUUUUCCCGGAAGGACUGCCAAGCCUAGGGCCUGUCAAGGUUCCCUCUAGGUUUGGUGUCUCUAUGUCCACUCUGGAGCCUUUAAGUGCCACUUGAGGGCCUUUAACAUCACCUUGCACCCCAGGAGCAGAAACCUUAAUAUCUCCUUUCAGUUUAGG